UACAGAGGGGGCAAGCGUUGCUCGGAAUUACUGGGCGUAAAGGGCGCGUAGGCGGGAUUGCAAGUCGGUCGUGAAAUCCUUCGGCUCAACCGAAGAACGUCGAUCGAUACUGCUGUUCUUGAGGAUUGCAGAGGAGACUGGAAUUCCCGGUGUAGCGGUGAAAUGUGUAGAGAUCGGGAGGAACACCGGUGGCGAAGGCGGGUCUCUGGGCAGUAACUGACGCUGAGGAGCGAAAGCGUGGGGAGCGAACAGG
rnacentral:rRNA from 1 species